UAACAACACCAAAUGCUAAAGAACCAAUAACAACACCAAAGGCUAAAGAACCAAUAACAACACCAAAGGCUAAAGUACCAGUAACAACACCAAAGGCUAAACAACCAAUAACAACCUCGAAGGCUAAACAACCAAUAACAACACCAAAGCUAAAGAACCAAUAACAACACCAAAGGCUAAAGAACCAAUAGCAACAGCAAAGUCUAAAGAACUAACAACAACAUUAUAGGCUAAAUGACCAACAGCAAUUGUAAUGGCUGAAGAUCCAACCGCAACAGUAACAACUAAAGUAGCAACCACAACAUUAAAGUCUGAAGAAACAAGAACAAAUAUAAAGGCAAAAGAACCAACAGGAACAGUAUAACUUUGAGAACCAAUGCCAAUUGUAAACGCUAAAACCAACAACAAUUGUAAAAGCUAAAGGACUACCAUCAAUUAUAACGCCUGAAGAACCAAGUAGAACAGUGAAUCUUGAGGAACCAACGACAUUAAAGCCUGCAGAACCCACAGCAACAAUAAUAUCUGAACAAUCAAUAACAGCUGCUGAACAACCAGCAUCAACCGACGAACAACCGUCAAUUCCAGCAGAACGCCCGACAAAUAAAGCUGAACCAACAACAACAGCUACUAAAAAUGAAAGAGCAUUAGCUGACAAACCAUCAACAGGUGCUGAACUCUGAACCGCACAAGCUGAACAAAUGACAACACCACCUGCAGAACAAACAACAGCUGCUGAAUAACCAAAAACAAUAUCUGAACAUCAACAACAGCUGCUGAACUAUAAACAACACAAGUGAAAGAGGAAAAAACAGUCGCUAAACUAGCUGUAGCAGAUGGUGAACAGUCAACAACACCAGCUGAACCACCGAUAAUACCCGCUGAACAACAGAUAACACCAGCUGAAUAACCUACAGGACUGCCUGAACAGCCAACAGCACCAGACUAACAGCUAACAACAACUACUGAAAAAACAACAACACCAGCUGAAUAACUAACUAUAGCUGCUGAACAAUGAACAAAACCAGAUGUACAACCGACAAUAACAGCUGAACAGCCAACAACACCGACUGAACACUUAACAAAAGCUGCUGCCCAACCAGCGUUGCAAGGUGAACAACCGACAACAUUAGCUGAACAACCGACAACAUGAGCUGAACAACCAACAACAACAACAACAGAUGAAUAACCAAUAACACCAACUGAACAACGGACAAUAGCUGCUGAGCAACAAACAACACAUGCUGAACAAUCGACCGCACCGGCUGAACAACCAACAACAAUAACCAUACAAGCAGCUGAACAACAACAGCACCAGAUAAAUAACAAUCAAGAGCUGCUGAAGAACCAACGGCACCAGAUGAAAUAUCGAGAGCUCAAUUAGAACAACAACACCAGUUGAACAGCCAGUAACAACAGCUGAACAACAAACAACACCACUCGAACAACGAACGACAGCAGCAGGAAAAGAAACAUCAAUAUCUGAACAACCAACAACCACCGUGGAACAACAGAGAACAUCAGCUAAAAAAAAAUAAUAAACAAAAACAGCUGCACAGGCAGCAACCGCUGCUGAGCGACCAACAACAACUCAUGAAUAACAAACAACACCAGUUAAACAAAAAAUAAUAAUAGUUCAACAACCAAUAACAGGUCCAGGUGAACAGCCGACAACAGACAACUAUAACUGAACAACGGACAGCACCAGUGAACAGCCAACAACACCAGUUCAAUCAGCGACAGCAUAAGCUGAACAGCCGACAAAACUAGCUGAACGACAGACAACACAAGCUGAGCAAUCAACAUCACCAGUGGACGAAACAACAACCGCUGCAGAGCAACAGACAAUACCAGCUUAACGAUCAACAACACCAGUUGAACAACCGAAAACAGCCGCUGAACAACCAAGAACACCGACUGAAUAACGAACAACACCGGCUGAGCAACAAACUACACCACCCGAACUACCAACAAAGCCAGCUGAACAACUAACAACCGCAUCUGAACAACCGAUAACAGGAGUUGAACAACCAACAAGACUAGCUAAAUAGCUAACAGCAGGAGGAAAGAAACAACUAUCAGCUGAACAAUGAAAGACACCAUUGGAACAACUAAGAACAAUAGCUGAACAACCAAAAACAACAAACAACAACAGUCGAACAAACAACAACAACAGGCACUGAACAACCAACACCACCAGCCGAACAAUCAACACCACUAGCUCAACAACCAAGAACAACAGCUGAACAAACAACACCAGCUGAACGGCCAACAACAGCUGAACAGCUGAUAACAUCAGCCGAACAACAGACAACAAUAGUUGAAAAACCGUCAACACCAGCUGAGCAACCAGCAACACCAACUGAACAACGAACAACACCAGCUGAACAACACACAAAAUGACCUGACCGACAGAGAACAUCAAUUGAACAACCAAGUACACCAGCGGAACAACAAACCACACCAAGUGAACACCAAACAACAGCUGAAGAACCAAAAACGCCUGAUAAGCAUAAAACAAUACGAGUCGAACAAACAACAAUAUAUUUCGAACAAUUAACAACACCAGCUGAGCAACUAACAAUACCAGAUGAACUACCAACUACCGCAUGUGAACAAACAAAAUCAGGAGUUGAACAACCAAGAACACCAGCUGAACAAACAGCAACACCAGAUGAACAACCAACAACAGCAGGUGAACAACCAACUACUCCAACAGAACAACAAACAACAAUUGCUGAACAACUAAGAAAAGCUGAUGAACACCAAGCAACACCAGUCGAAAAAACAACAACAGCUGCUGAACAACCAACAACACCGGAUGAACAACCAACAGCACAAGCUCAACAACCAAGAACAACAGCUGAACAUACAACACCAGCUGUACAACCAACAACAGGUACUGAGUAAUCAGCAACUGCUGCAGAACAAACAACAACAAGCGGCAACACCAGGUGAACAAUCAACAACAUCAGUUGAAGAACCGACAAUACCAGCUGAACAUCUGACAACGCCGACUGAACAAACAAUACCAGCUGAACAACAAACUCCAUCAGCUGAACAAACCAACAACAGAUGCUGCAUACCCAACAACAGCUGAACAACCAACAACAACAUAAGCUGAAUCGCCAACAACACGAGCUGAACAACUAAUAGCACCAACUGAACAACGAUCAGCAUCUGCUGCACAAGCAUCUACACUAGCUCAACAAACAACUGCAUGAUAAUUCUCCUCAGCUGCACAUCUAAUGACGACAACUGCACAAACAUCCGACUCAAUACACAAACAAUCAUAUUAACUGCAGAACGUAACACACCUGUGCGUCUUAACAUCUAUACAAUGAAUUAAUAGCACAGCCAAACUUUACAACUACACACCUAAACACAGCAGCUGUACUACCACACACCUCAACUACACAACCUUAGACAAAGAACUGCUCAACCAACCACAUUAACUUCGCAAGUAAUUACAACAACAGCUUCUCAUUCAAACACAACUGCACAACCGCUGCACAGCCAAACAAAACAAUUCUACAACCAAACACUUCUGUUGCAUAACCAAACACAGCAACUGUACAACUUAACACAAGAACUGCACAGCCAAACAAAACAAUUCUACAACCAAACACAACAACUACACAACCUAACAUAGCAACUGCUCAACCAAAUACACUCCACCGCCAACGGCUGUAAGUGCACAGCCCAAAACAACUCCUGGUGAGCGAUCAACAACAACAACUGCACCAGAACCAUCUUCACUGCAUUAGCAGUUUCAAUGACUGCUCAUGCUGCCGUUGUUACGGCAUCUCCUACAAUGGACAAACAUGCACAACACCUGUACACUAACAAUAGCUGCACAUCUACAAGAACAUUUUCACAACCAACCACACCUGCAUAGCCAGCUGCAGCGAGCCACAACAGUUGCACAACUACCCAUAAGUACUGAGUGACCGAACACAACAAGUAACCACGUCAUGCGUAUAAUCAACAAUAACUUCACAGUCAACUACAACAACUGCAUCCUCGCCUAUAAUAUCUGCCCAGAGUCCUGCUCGUCCGACUGCGUCAGUUGUGCAAUCAACCAGCACAUCUGCAGAAUAUACCACAAGAAUUUCGUGACUGCACUCAACUACUGCACAACUAACCGACGCCAUACCAACUAAAUCCCAUUAUUGCUGCCCGAAAUAUUUUUAUUACACAUCGCUAUGGAGUGAUAUACUAUCACCAUCGACUGGAACAGCUGACAAGUAAUUCAGACCCUCCACGACAAUGGUACGGCGCAUGGAACAGACAGAAUGGAGACACAACUGUCGGAGUUACCCAAUCCACCGCAGAACCACAGCCUACACCAACCGGGCAACAACCAUCAACAACUACUGCAGCGACAUCUACACUCACUAACAUAUUUUCGACAGUCACUGAGUUAUUGUCUACCACCACGGGACAAUCAUCGAAGACCACAAAUCUAUUUUAAAAAUCAACAACAACAGAACAACCAUCUUUAUUCAGCUUGAAUCACCAUCUUCUUUUCACAGAAGAAAAAACCCGUAUUCUACGCCCACAGGACAAUCAUCAACCACCAUUGAAAUAUCCUCUACAACCACUGGACCACCAUCCAACUGAAUUCACCAAUCAUUUACCACCAUUGCCCAAUCGUCCCCUCUUAUACCAUCAUUCAGGUUCCAUCCUUCCGAACUGAUCCAUAUUGCACUCCUCACCUUGUUUUACUGAUCUACCCACCAUUCCCCCAUCCCCCAUCCCCAGGUACAUGUCUUCUCCAAUGCACUCGCAUUUGCUUCUGUAGAAAACUCAUUCACUCCAAUGUAACUAAACCGUUUCACACCACUACUCUACAAUGAUCUAUCGAUUCAUACCCUCCUAAUAUUGCUCUAUUAUCUACGAUUUUCCCUUUGAGACUCCAUCUACCUUCACUGAACAAGCGCCCACGUUCUCAUUGAGUUAUUGCCCUUCUUUACUUACAACUCAUUCUAUGUUAAUAUCUACAACCUAAAGAGCGGCGAACUGGCAGAAUCGUUAGCACGCCGGGCGAAAUGCUUAGCGGUAUUUCGUCUAUAUUUACGUUCCGAGUUCAAAUUCCGCCGAGGUAGACUUUGACUUUUAUCCUUUCGGUGUCGAUAAAUUAAGUACCAGUUGCGUACUGGGGUCAAUAUAAUCGACUGGCCCCCUCCCCCCAAAUUUCGGGCCUUGUGCCUAGAAUAGAAAAGAAUAUCUACAUUCCAAAACAACUGGGUCUUUAUUGGCCCCAUUGGAUGAUAUCUUCUCCUUUAGUGACGUAAAGCCUGACUCUGUUAAGCCAUUAAUUAUCAACCUCGCCACACAUUGCCUUCACUCAAUACUCAGCCUUCAUCUGCAAAUGUUCACCUACUCCCAUGAACAAUAGAUUACUAAACCUGGGCCCAUAACUACCCCCACUGAACAAUCAUCUCUUUCUUUUAAGUUGACAAUUUUUUUAUAUAAAACAAAUAUUAAACCUGCCACCGAGGAACAAAAUCCACUCGCUCUGAACCCAAUCUGAUACCACUGAACUAUAGCCCAUCCUAACUUUACUGUUGUCUCCCCCCACUAACUAAUCGCUUAACCGCACUGAGCUAACAGCUACUCAGACAGGAACAACCUUCUACUAUCACGAAAUGUUCCCUAAUACAACCACUGAGCUACCAUCUACGAGAACUUCUCUCUCACUUCAAUGUAACCUUCAUCAUCCGUUACAACCACCAGUGAGUAAUUAAUCAAUAGACAUUGGGUAAUAUCUCCAACUACUGAACCAUCUGAUACCAGUGGAUCAUAAAGUGGCAUUGAACCACCACUGACAACAAUAUUGAAAACAGAAACUGUACAAGUAUCUACAACGAUAGGAUGUGAAAUGGUAGACCCACAUACGAGCAUUGGAUGAAAAACUCUAGAACUGCCAUAAAAUGCAAGAGCACUAUCUGAAGAAACAGCUGCAACUGCUGGAACCGAUGUUCAACCACCGUUAGCCAUUGAUUCAGAAACCAGAAACUAUACACUCAUAGCCGAGAACUGGAACGUAAAGGGAGUUAACGGGUGCCACAGACAGUGUAUAACCUCGUUAAGCAUUGAGUCCCAAACCUUAUAACUAUUGUUGUAAUAUCGGAACAGCAUUUUAACGUCAACGGAAUAAGAAAUAUGGUUAAAUGUUCAUAAAGCUCAACAGCUUAUAUGUAUGAAGGUUUGUCAACAUCGUUUUCUUGCUGCGUCAGACUUGGAUGUUCUCACAUUAAGGAGACAUAUAUACACGUGUUUUUUAAAGACAGAAAGAAGACAGAAGUUGUUUCAAUUAUAUGAAUAGCUGUGGGAAUCUGUACCAGUGGCUGUAUCAAACUGCAUAGAUAACCAAACACAGAGGCUCUAUCAAACUGUAUCACUGUAUUUAUGGCUGUAUAGAAAAUGUAUCGGUGACCGUGAAAGUCUGCAUCAGUCUGUUGUACCAAGUUGGAUGCAAAACGCUAUCAAACUCUAUCGCUGUAUCAAUGCUUGUAUCAAGAUGCUUAUAUGAGCAGAAAUGACCGUAUCGCAUUGUACCUUCCACUGUAACAGCGAAAUAACCGUAUCGUAUUGUAUCUCCCGUUGUAUCAAAUUCAGGAAGUAACUCCAUCAAUGAUUGUAUCAAACUGUAUCAAAUGCAUUAUUGAACUGACUGAAUGUCCAUAUCAAACAGUCUCAAACAAGGUGUGUACAACUGUAUUAAUGGCUGUAUCAGCAUUACUGUCACGUGUCUCUGACACGUGACAGUAAUGCCUGCAUCAAGUGUAUUCAAUGCUGUAUCAAACAGUUUGAUGUAUCAAACAGUAACGAUGCCUCUGUUACAGAGGAUCAAUGCCGGUAUCGAACAAUAACAAAGCCCCUAUGAACUUGUAUCAAAAUAUCGAUGACAUCAUGGAACUCAUAAAGAAUCUAUCAAUCUAUACAGCUGGUUAUAUAAAUCGAUUCAAUCGUUGGAUCAAUCUGAUGGAAAGACUUUAUCAAACUAUGUAAAUGACUGCAACAUCAGGUUGUUUCAAAAUUCUAUCACUGACAAUAUGAAACUGUACCAAUGAUUAUUAAUUACAGGAUCGAAAUGGUUCGAUGGCUGUCGAAAGCUGUGCUAAACUGUUUCAAACCUGCAUUAAUUACUGAAGCAAACUGAUUCCAUGGAUGUGUAUUUGUGUGUGAGUGUGCUUCCAGACAUUUCUUUACGUAUGUAUUCAUAUAUCGCGUUAUAAGCAUAACGGGCCGGAUAUUGUUGUUUGGGACAGACAGGGAAAAGUAUGUAUUAUCAAAGAAGGUCAUCUGUCCUGCUGCUGUGAAUCUCUCUUUGGAAAUCAAAGAGAAAGAAGAUAACUAAGGACAACUGCUUCGAAUCCUCCAGCUUCCGGAUUACAAAUAUCCGGAUUACAAAUUUACAUUUAUAACAAUAAUAAUCGGUUAAUCUGGAUAAGCUUGGAUUUUCAGAAACAGAAAUCAACCAACUGUUUCUCACAUUACAAAUAUAAUCUGUAAGCGGAACAAU
rnacentral:lncRNA from 1 species